rnacentral:rRNA from 1 species
UACGUAGGAUGCAAGCGUUGUCCGGAAUUAUUGGGCGUAAAGAGCGCGCAGGCGGUGUAUCAAGUCAGAUGUGAAAGAGGCCGGCUUAACCGGCAAGGGUCAUUUGAAACUGAUAGACUAGAGUGCAGCAGAGGAUAGUGGAAUUCCCGGUGUAGUGGUGAAAUGCGUAGAUAUCGGGAGGAACACCAGUGGCGAAGGCGGCCUUCUGGACCAGUACUGACGCUCAUGCACGAAAGCGUGGGGAGCAAACAGG